rnacentral:tRNA from 1 species
GGCACGAUAGCUUAAUCGGUAAAGCAGCUGAAAAGUCAUAUUACGAAGGUUGGUGCUUCGAAUCCUGCUCGUGCCG